GAUGAACGCUGGCGGCGUGCCUAAUACAUGCAAGUCGAGCGAACAGACGAGGAGCUUGCUCCUCUGACGUUAGCGGCGGACGGGUGAGUAACACGUGGAUAACCUACCUAUAAGACUGGGAUAACUUCGGGAAACCGGAGCUAAUUCCGGAUAAUAUAUUGAACCGCAUGGUUCAAUAGUGAAAGACGGUUUUGCUGUCACUUAUAGAUGGAUCCGCGCCGCAUUAGCUAGUUGGUAAGGUAACGGCUUACCAAGGCGACGAUGCGUAGCCGACCUGAGAGGGUGAUCGGCCACACUGGAACUGAGACACGGUCCAGACUCCUACGGGAGGCAGCAGUAGGGAAUCUUCCGCAAUGGGCGAAAGCCUGACGGAGCAACGCCGCGUGAGUGAUGAAGGUCUUCGGAUCGUAAAACUCUGUUAUUAGGGAAGAACAAAUGUGUAAGUAACUAUGCACGUCUUGACGGUACCUAAUCAGAAAGCCACGGCUAACUACGUG
rnacentral:rRNA from 1 species